rnacentral:pre_miRNA from 1 species
CAACUCUCAUCCUACACCGUUUGAUUAAGAAAUGGACGUCCGAGAUUCAUCUACGUUACCAUGAGUUAAAAUUUAACUCGCAGAUUCACUCAUAAGUUAAAAUUUACUGUGGAGUUAAAUUUUAACUCAUGGUGAUGUGGACGAAUCUCGGACGUCCAUUUCUCGAUCUAACGGUGUAGGAUGAAAGUUG